AAAUCAGGUAGGAGUACCCGCUGAACUUAAGCAUAUCAAUAAGCGGAGGAAAAGAAACCAACCGGGAUUGCCUUAGUAACGGCGAGUGAAGCGGCAAAAGCUCAAAUUUGAAAUCUGGUACCUUCGGUGCCCGAGUUGUAAUUUGGAGAGGGCAACUUUGGGGCCGUUCCUUGUCUAUGUUCCUUGGAACAGGACGUCAUAGAGGGUGAGAAUCCCGUGUGGCGAGGAGUGCGGUUCUUUGUAAAGUGCCUUCGAAGAGUCGAGUUGUUUGGGAAUGCAGCUCUAAGUGGGUGGUAAAUUCCAUCUAAAGCUAAAUAUUGGCGAGAGACCGAUAGCGAACAAGUACAGUGAUGGAAAG
rnacentral:rRNA from 1 species